rnacentral:rRNA from 1 species
UACGUAGGGGGCUAGCGUUGUCCGGAUUUAUUGGGCGUAAAGAGCGUGUAGGCGGCUUGGCAAGUCUGCUGUGAAAACUCGAGGCUCAACCUCGAGCUGUCGGUGGAAACUGCUUGGCUAGAGUCCGGAAGAGGAGAGUGGAAUUCCUGGUGUAGCGGUGAAAUGCGCAGAUAUCAGGAAGAACACCUAUGGCGAAGGCAGCUCUCUGGGACGGUACUGACGCUGAGACGCGAAAGCGUGGGGAGCGAACGGG